rnacentral:rRNA from 1 species
UCAGUUAUCGUUUAUUUGAUAGUACCUUACUACUUGGAUAACCGUGGUAAUUCUAGAGCUAAUACAUGCUGAAAACCCCGACUUCGGAAGGGGUGUAUUUAUUAGAUAAAAAACCAAUGCCCUUCGGGGCUCCUUGGUGAUUCAUAAUAACUUGUCAGAUCGCAUGGCCUUGCGCCGGCGACGGUUCAUUCAAAUUUCUGCCCUAUCAACUUUCGAUGGUAAGGUAUUGGCUUACCAUGGUUUCAACGGGUAACGGGGAAUUAGGGUUCGAUUCCGGAGAGGGAGCCUGAGAAACGGCUACCACAUCCAAGGAAGGCAGCAGGCGCGCAAAUUACCCAAUCCCGACACGGGGAGGUAGUGACAAUAAAUACUGAUACAGGGCUCUUUUGGGUCUUGUAAUUGGAAUGAGUACAAUUUAAACCUCUUAACGAGGAACAAUUGGAGGGCAAGUCUGGUGCCAGCAGCCGCGGUAAUUCCAGCUCCAAUAGCGUAUAUUAAAGUUGUUGCAGUUAAAAAGCUCGUAGUUGAACCUUUGGCCUGGCUGGCAGGUCCGCCUCACCGCGUGCACUUGUCCGGCCGGGCCUUCUCUUCUGGAGAACCGCAUGCCCUUCACUGGGUGUGUUGGGGACCAGGACUUUUACUUUGAAAAAAUUAGAGUGUUCAAAGCAGGCCUUUGCUCGAAUACGUUAGCAUGGAAUAAUAGAAUAGGACGUGCGGUCCUAUUUUGUUGGUUUCUAGGACCGCCGUAAUGAUUAAUAGGGACAGUCGGGGGCAUCAGUAUUCAAUUGUCAGAGGUGAAAUUCUUGGAUUUAUUGAAGACUAACUACUGCGAAAGCAUUUGCCAAGGAUGUUUUCAUUAAUCAGUGAACGAAAGUUAGGGGAUCGAAGACGAUCAGAUACCGUCGUAGUCUUAACCAUAAACUAUGCCGACUAGGGAUCGGGCGGUGUUAUUAUUUUGACUCGCU